AUGAAAAAAGAUCAUAUAUAAAUUUCCGUUAGGAGAUUAUAGAAAAUAAGUUGUAGUCAUGAAUUUUCAGCAAGAGAAGUUCAUCAGGUUUGUUUCAUUUACAAUGGUCUACAACGACAUCCAUAACUCUUUAUUAAGUUGUUUUGUUUUUGGGUUAGACACUUAUAUGGUCACGCCUCUGUUAUCUACCUCCUCCUCUGACUCUCCUUUAUGUUUCUUCUUCCUCUCACUACAAAUUACAAAUAUGGCGGAAUCGGUGGAGUUUCCCACUAGCCUCGGCAUCCUUCCUUUCCGAAACAAGGUCCUAUUACCAAGCGGCAUCAUUCAAAUUCGAUGUAAUUCACCCAAAAGGUUUUGUGUUGUUGCGAAUUGGCUUCAGAUCCUCACUUGAUAUCCCAUUUAUGCGAAUUUACUUGAGGUCCUCACUUAAUUGGUAUUCUUCCCGUUCAAGAUGCUGUCGAGGCAGCAACAGUGGACUCUGUGUUGUCUCAAGGUGAUUUCUGCUUAUUUCCCCAUUUGACACGGAUGAGUGGAUGCCUAUGAUUAGGUGAAAGUGAAAUCUAAGAGGCUUUAGAAAUGGGAAGUUAUUCUGGUGAACGAAGAUCUAGAGUUCAAGUUUGUACAUUUGAUUCUCACAGGCUAGAUAGAUAGAGAAAAUUAGCAUAAACUUAUUCACUGUCAUACAAGGUAUACUUGAAUCAAAAUCUAUUUUGUUAUUCAUUGGAAAGUGUUUCUGUUUUAUGGGGCCACAACUUAACUUACAGAUAACACAGUGGUCCAUCUAAUCAUGCAUUUGUUGUGAUUGUUUUUAAUUCAAUCAGUUUGACUGCCCCUUUAACCCUUGAUUAAGCCAUGCUCAGUUGAUGUAUAUAAAAGCCAAGUUGCUUAUCUUAUUGACCUCAUUCACUCAUGUGUCCCUCUAUUCAUUCAUGAUUGUGUUGAAUUUAUUCAAGUUAAAUGCGUCUUAUUCAUGCAAUUACGCCUGAAACAAUUGGUUCAUGUUGCAACGUGCGGGCUUAUUAUUUAGUUUAAUACAAAUAAAGAGAAAAUGUAAUACUCUGAUGAGCUAAUUGAAGUCAACAAGGGUUUUUAACCAAAAUAGUUUUUGAGAUUGAUGUAAAUCUUCACAUUAGUGUUUGAGAUUGUCCACCAUCAACCGAUUUAGUCAUUUUGUGAAAAAUCUCCGCUAAAUUGACGAAACCACCGGUCAAGUGGAGGGGUUAAUUUGACAAAAAAUAUCCUCAAUUGAACGGAGAUUUUUCACAAAAAAUGAUUGACUGUGGAUAAUCUCAAAAAUCAUUUGGACUAAAAAGCCAAGGCAGUAGCAACGACGGGGGAAAUUAAGCCAAAAUAUUUACACCAUUUUUUGUCACCAAUCCAUCAAGCAAAGAGAUUCCCAAGUGAAAUGAUUGGCAUCGCAUAGCAGAGCAGAGCAUCCAAGGCGGGAAUCAGAAUCACUGCAACAGUUACUUUUGGUGUGUGUUUUUUCCUCUGAGCCCAUAUGACAUUUUUGUCAGACAAACAUGGGGUUGAAACAGUUUGAUGCCAAAGUUUGAAUGUGAUGUUGUCACUCAGUCGUGGCUUUUCUUUAGUUGUUGUAUCCUUCUCAGAUGAUCCUGCGUUCAUGUUCCUUAGUGGCUUGUCGUGGUUGUGCUUUCCCUCGUACGUGGUGAUGAAAGCUUUGGGAUCAUCCGAGACUGUUUCGACAUGCUUGCGCACGCUGCAUUUGAGACUGGUACAUCUGUAGUAACUUCUGCAAGAUCAUAAAAACUAUGGAGUAAGCACUAGCUAGCCACAGAGAAUCUUGCGUCCCACUGCAGAUGUCAUGAAUGCACAAACAUCACUUGAUGACCAACUUAAGCAACUAAGUCUUAACAUAAUCGAUAGAGGUUGGUUAUA